rnacentral:rRNA from 1 species
UUGCUAAGACUGAUGGCGACCGGCGCACGGGUGAGUAACACGUAUCCAACCUGCCGUCUACUCUUGGACAGCCUUCUGAAAGGAAGAUUAAUACAAGAUGGCAUCAUGAGUCCGCAUGUUCACAUGAUUAAAGGUAUUCCGGUAGACGAUGGGGAUGCGUUCCAUUAGAUAGUAGGCGGGGUAACGGCCCACCUAGUCUUCGAUGGAUAGGGGUUCUGAGAGGAAGGUCCCCCACAUUGGAACUGAGACACGGUCCAAACUCCUACGGGAGGCAGCAGUGAGGAAUAUUGGUCAAUGGGCGAGAGCCUGAACCAGCCAAGUAGCGUGAAGGAUGACUGCCCUAUGGGUUGUAAACUUCUUUUAUAAAGGAAUAAAGUCGGGUAUGUAUACCCGUUUGCAUGUACUUUAUGAAUAAGGAUCGGCUAACUCCGUGCCAGCAGCCGCGGUAAUACGGAGGAUCCGAGCGUUACCCGGAUUUAUUGGGUUUAAAGGGAGCGUAGAUGGAUGUUUAAGUCAGUUGUGAAAGUUUGCGGCUCAACCGUAAAAUUGCAGUUGAUACUGGAUAUCUUGAGUGCAGUUGAGGCAGGCGGAAUUCGUGGUGUAGCGGUGAAAUGCUUAGAUAUCACGAAGAACUCCGAUUGCGAAGGCAGCCUGC